AUGGCGCAGCCUGAUCAGCCAUGCCGCGUGAGUGAUGAAGGCCCUAGGGUUGUAAAGCUCUUUCAGCGAGGAGGAUAAUGACGUUACUCGCAGAAGAAGCCCCGGCUAACUUCGUGCCAGCAGCCGCGGUAAUACGAAGGGGGCUAGCGUUGUUCGGAAUCACUGGGCGUAAAGCGCACGUAGGCGGACUGAUCAGUCAGGGGUGAAAUCCCGGGGCUCAACCCCGGAACUGCCUUUGAUACUGUCAGUCUUGAGUCCGAGAGAGGUGAGUGGAACUCCGAGUGUAGAGGUGAAAUUCGUAGAUAUUCGGAAGAACACCAGUGGCGAAGGCGGCUCACUGGCUCGGUACUGACGCUGAGGUGCGAAAGCGUGGGGAGCAAACAGGAUUAGAUACCCCCGGUAGUCA
rnacentral:rRNA from 1 species